GCAGGAGCCGCGCUGACGCCGGCGGCGGUGCCGGCAGCGGGCCGGGCGCGGGGAUUUGGGUACGGGGCGCAGGUCCGGUCCCCGGGCGACUGGGACAGUCGGCGUCGCCAUGGGUCGCUCCUUGAGUUCGAAGCUCGCGGCCAAGAGGGGUCGGUAGGGGAGAGGGGGACGGUAGCGCAACCCCACCCCCGCUCCGGUGCGCGCUUGCCGCGCAGUCUGCGCACUGGAGAAGAGCGCGAUUAUCCGCGUGACUCAUCCAGCUCGGCACAAACUGCAUUAGUUGGCAGAAGAUGUGAUGGAAACGACUAGUGCUAAGGGAUUAAUGUGGAGCCACAGAGGAGUGUGAUAGAUUGAAGAGGCUACAUCAGUGUUUCAAGGGAAGGACCUGGCACCCAGAGCUGGGCACCAGAAUCUGGGCAUCUGACAGCACCCUAGCUUGUAUGUAAAUGCCACAGGAUUCAGGAAAAGCUGUUUUUUUCAGAAGGUGAAAGAUUCUCCAGGGCACCUUCAACUUCAUGAGGACAGGAGCUGUUGUUUUUUCAUUACCAUAUUCCCAAGUUCUAGUACAGUGAUACUGUAGUAC
ensembl:lncRNA